GCGCCGCUAGCUCAACUGGCAGAGCAGCUGACUCUUAAUCAGCGGGUUCGGGGUUCGAGUCCCUGGCGGCGCA
rfam:Streptomyces glauciniger strain CGMCC 4.1858 genome assembly, contig: Ga0079895_112